UAUAUCGAUGUUUUCUCAGCGCUUUGUCAGCUCCAAAAACUGAAGAAACGGCAAGAAUCCCAAAGUAAAAGCUC